CACCAGCGGUGGAGCAUGUGGUUUAAUUUGAAGCAACGCGAAGAACCUUACCAGGUUUUGACAUCCUAGGACAACUUUAGAGAUAGAGCGUUCCCCUUCGGGGGAUAGAGUGACAGGUGGUGCAUGGUGGUGGUCAGUUCGUGUCGUGAGAUGUUGGGUUAAUUCCCGCAAGGAGCGCAACCCUUGAUCUUAGUUGCCAGCAUUUAGUUGGGCACUCUAAGGUGACUGCCGGUGACAAACCGGAGGAAGGUGGGGAUGACGUCAAAUCAUCAUGCCCCUUAUGACUUGGGCUACACACGUGCUACAAUGGAUGGUACAAAGGGCUGCAAGACCGCGAGGUCAAGCCAAUCCCAUAAAACCAUUCUGCAGUUCCGGAUUGUGGGUUGCAACUCGCCUACAUGAAGCUGGAAUCGCUAGUAAUUGCGGAUCAGCAUGCCGCGGUGAAUACGUUUCCCGGGCCUUGUACACACCGCCCGUCACACCCCGAGAGUUUGUAACACAACGAAGUUCGGUGGAGUAACCGUAAGGAGCUACCCUUCUUUUAAGAUUUCCGCCCGGGU
rnacentral:rRNA from 1 species